AUUGAACGCUGGCGGCAGGCUCAACACAUGCAAGUCGAGCGGGGUGAUGGUGCUUGCACUAUCACUUAGCGGCGGACGGGUGAGUAAUGCUUAGGAAUCUGCCUAUUAGUGGGGGACAACAUUUCGAAAGGAAUGCUAAUACCGCAUACGUCCUACGGGAGAAAGCAGGGGAUCUUCGGGCCUUGCGCUAAUAGAUGAGCCUAAGUCGGAUUAGCUAUUUGGUGGGGUAAAGGCCUACCAAUGCGACGAUCUGUAGCGGGUCUGAGGGGAUGAUCCGCCACACUGGGACUGAGACACGGCCCAGACUCCUACGGGAGGCAGCAGUGGGGAAUAUUGGACAAUGGGCGGAAGCCUGAUCCAGCCAUGCCGCGUGUGUGAAGAAGGCCUUAUGGUUGUAAAGCACUUUAAGCGAGGAGGAGGCUACUUUAGUUAAUACCUAGAGAUAGUGGACGUUACUCGCAGAAUAAGCACCGGCUAACUCUGUGCCAGCAGCCGCAGUAACAC
rnacentral:rRNA from 1 species